CCUACGGGAGGCAGCAGUGGGGAAUAUUGCACAAUGGGGGAAACCCUGAUGCAGCGACGCCGCGUGAGUGAAGAAGGAAUUCGUGAUGUAAAGCUCUAUCAGCAGGGAAGAAAAUGACGGUACCUGAGUAAGAAGCCCCGGCUAACUCCGUGCCAGCAGCCGCGGUAAUACGCAGGGGGCAAGCGUUAUCCGGAUUUACUGGGUGUAAUGGGAGCGUAGAGGGUAGUGAAAGUCGGGAGUGAAGGGUGGGGGCUCAACCCCCGGACUGCAAUGGAAACUGUACGGCUUGAGUGCAGGAGAGGUAGGUGGAAUUCGUGGUGUAGCGGUGAAAUGCGUAGAUAUCAGGAGGAACACCGGUGGCGAAGGCAGCUUACUGGACUGCAACUGACGUUGAGGCUCGAAAGCGUGGGGAGCAAACAGGAUUAGAUACCCGGGUAGUC
rnacentral:rRNA from 1 species